rnacentral:rRNA from 1 species
AGAUAGUAAGGUGGCGGACGGGUGAGUAACACGUAAAGACUUGCCCUGCAGUCUGGGACAACUAUUGGAAACGAUAGCUAAUACCGGAUAUUGCUGCAUGGCGAAAGCUGUAUGCGCUGCAGGAGAGCUUUGCGUCCCAUUAGUUAGUUGGUGAGGUAACGGCUCACCAAGACCGCGAUGGGUAGCCGGCCUGAGAGGGUGAACGGCCACAAGGGGACUGAGACACGGCCCUUACUCCUACGGGAGGCAGCAGUGGGGAAUAUUGGACAAUGGACCAAAGUCUGAUCCAGCAAUUCUGUGUGCACGAUGACGGUCUUAGGAUUGUAAAGUGCUUUCAAUCGGGAAAAAGAAAGUGAUGGUACCGAUAGAAGAAGCGACGGCUAAAUACGUGCCAGCAGCCGCGGUAAUACGUAUGUCGCAAGCGUUAUCCGGAUUUAUUGGGCGUAAAGCGCGUCUAGGCGGUCUGGUAAGUCUGAUGUGGAAAUGCGGGGCUCAACUCCGUAUUGCGUUGGAAACUGCCAGACUAGAGUACUGGAGAGGUGGGCGGAACUACAAGUGUAGAGGUGAAAUUCGUAGAUAUUUGUAGGAAUGCCGAUAGAGAAGUCAGCUCACUGGACAGAUACUGACGCUGAAGCGCGAAAGCAUGAGGAGCAAACAGGAUUAGAUACCCUGGUAGUCCAUGCCGUAAACGAUGAUUACU